CUCUGUGACUAUACCACCCUGAAGAUGCCCAAUUUCAUCUGAUCUUGGAAGCUAAGCAGGGUUGGGCCUGGUUAGUACUUGGACUAAGGCUUCCCUGAUAGCUCAUUUGGUAAAGAAU
ensembl:rRNA 5S_rRNA 5S ribosomal RNA